rnacentral:rRNA from 1 species
AGAGUUUGAUCAUGGCUCAGGAUGAACGCUAGCUACAGGCUUAACACAUGCAAGUCGAGGGGAAACGACAUCGAAAGCUUGCUUUUGAUGGGCGUCGACCGGCGCACGGGUGAGUAACGCGUAUCCAACCUGCCCAUCACUUGGGGAUAACCUUGCGAAAGUAAGACUAAUACCCAAUGAUAUCUCUAGAAGGCAUCUGAAAGAGAUUAAAGAUUUAUCGGUGAUGGAUGGGGAUGCGUCUGAUUAGCUUGGUUGGCGGGGUAACGGCCCACCAAAGCAACGAUCAGUAGGGGUUCUGAGAGGAAGGUCCCCCACAUUGGAACUGAGACACGGUCCAAACUCCGUACGGAGGGCA